CUUGUAAACAUAAGAGGUCCAGCCUGCCCAGUGAUUCAUUCAACGGCCGCGGUAUCCUAACCGUGCAAAGGUAGCGUAAUCACUUGUUUUCCAAAUAAAGACCAGUAUGAAAGGCAUCACGAGAACUAAACUGUCUCCUUUCUCUAAUCAGUGAACCUAAUCUCCCCGUGAAGAAGCGGGGAUCCUGCUAUAAGACGAGAAGACCCUGUGGAGCUUAAAACAUUACAACAAUGCCCCCUCCCCCUCCAACCACCCUGAUGGCCCUUCCCCCACCGGCACCCUGAUUACAUGUUUUUGGUUGGGGUGACCGCGGAGAAAAACCCAUCCUCCGUAAUGAAAGGGAUUUCCCCCCUAAGCAACAAGCUACAACUUUACACAUCAAAAAAUUGACAUCUUUGACCCAAUAAAUUGAUUGACGAAC
rnacentral:rRNA from 1 species